GCCCGCCCCACAUGGCUUGUUACCUGGUCAUCAGCUCGAGACACCUCAGCAAUGGGCACUACCGGGGCAUUAAAGGAGUCUUCCGAGGGCCUCUCUGCAAGAACGGAUCUCCCUCUCCGCAUCAGGACAUGUGAAAAGAAACAACCAUAUCUUCAGACCAUCAGCUCUCACGUGCAUCCUUUUGUGCCAAGAUUCUGUGUUUUAAGAUCAAUCACAAGACAGAGAAACAAGUCUUCACAGAGAAGUUCUGAUUGUGAUCUCAGGCAAUGACCAUUCAAAAUGCACUGAUAACUUUCUAGUAUUGCUCCAAAGCAAGAUGACUUUUGUAAAACAUAUCAGCCAGUCCAACAUGGACGAAGGAGUCGGUGA
rnacentral:lncRNA from 1 species